GGCCAAGAGAACCUCUCUCUAGGGCGGGGCCCAGAGGAAAGAAGAGAGCGUAGGACGCCCACUUGUGUUUGUUUAGGGAUGGGCGUCGCGGGCUUUGGGAACUGUUAGUGGAGGCACCUACGCUUGGUGAGGGCGUGAGCACGUGUUGCGGGCAGGAUCCUUGCCUAAAGAGCGGAGUCUGCGACUGGGAAGUCUAUACUCAAUGUGAUUCCAAUACCUAGAACGUCUUUCUUCAGAUGGGCAAUGCGGUUCCCGAGCUGGCCCUGGGGUGUGUGUCCACAAGUUAAGGGAACAUCAAAGGUUUUCCAUUGAAUGUUCUGAAGACCCUCAAGUAAUUCAUAGGUGGCUCCCUACAGCAAGAUACUAUGCCACCUCAGGCCCAGAACAACAGGGCCAAUUGAUCAUGGAUGAAACCUCUGAAACCAUGAGCCAAAAUACAUCUUUCUUCCCUUGAAGAUGAUUAUCUCAGGUAUUUUGUCACAGUAA
rnacentral:lncRNA from 1 species